UACGUAGGGGGCUAGCGUUGUCCGGAUUUAUUGGGCGUAAAGAGCGUGUAGGCGGCCAUGUAGGUCCGGUGUGAAAACUCGAGGCUUAACCUCGAGAUGUCAUCGGAAACCAUUUGGCUAGAGUCCGGAAGAGGAGAGUGGAAUUCCUGGUGUAGCGGUGAAAUGCGCAGAUAUCAGGAAGAACACCAAUGGCGAAGGCGGUUCUCUGGGACGGUACUGACGCUGAGACGCGAAAGCGUGGGGAGCGAACAGG
rnacentral:rRNA from 1 species